rnacentral:tRNA from 1 species
GAGAGAUACCCGAUCGUAACGAUGACUGCUAAUUUUCGCUUUCUUGGUUUAACUCCAAGACUCCCUCG